rnacentral:rRNA from 1 species
GGUUCCGAAGUGAUUGAUACCAAGCUUCCAGGAAAAGCCACUAAGCUUCAGUCUAGAGUUGACCGUACCGCAAACCGACACAGGUGGGCAGGAUGAAAAUUCUAAGGCGCUUGAGAGAACUCAGGAGAAGGAACUCGGCAAAUUAACACCGUAACUUCGGGAGAAGGUGUGCCCCGGUAGCGUGUAGAGACUUGCUCUCGAAGCGCGAUGGGGUUGCAGUGAAAUGGUGGCUGCGACUGUUUAAUAAAAACACAGCACUCUGCAAACACGAAAGUGGACGUAUAGGGUGUGACGCCUGCCCGGUGCCGGAAGGUUAAGUGAUGGGGUGCAAGCUCUUGAUCGAAGCCCCGGUAAACGGCGGCCGUAACAAUAACGGUCCUAAGGUAGCGAAAUUCCUUGUCGGGUAAGUUCCGACCUGCACGAAUGGCGUAACGAUGGCCACACUGUCUCCUCCUGGGACUCAGCGAAGUUGAAAUGUUCGUGAAGAUGCAAUCUACCCGCGGCUAGACGGAAAGACCCCAUGAACCUUUACUGUAGCUUUGCAUUGGACUUUGAACCGGUUUGUGUAGGAUAGGUGGGAGACUGUGAAGCCGGGACGCUAGUUUCGGUGGAGUCAACCUUGAAAUACCACCCUGAUUUGUUUGAGGUUCUAACCUUGGUCCGUGAAUCCGGAUCGGGGACCGUGCAUGGUAGGCAGUUUGACUGGGGCGGUCUCCUCCCAAAAGGUAACGGAGGAGUACGAAGGUACGCUUAGGGCGGUCGGACAUCGCCCACAAAGUGCAAUGGCAAAAGCGUGCUUGACUGCGAGACCCACAAGUCGAGCAGGUACGAAAGUAGGUCAUAGUGAUCCGGUGGUUCUGUAUGGAAGGGCCAUCGCUCAACGGAUAAAAGGUACUCUGGGGAUAACAGGCUAAUUCCUCCCAAGAGUUCAUAUCGACGGGGGAGUUUGGCACCUCGAUGUCGGCUCAUCACAUCCUGGGGCUGUAGUCGGUCCCAAGGGUAUGGCUGUUCGCCAUUUAAAGUGGUACGCGAGCUGGGUUUAAAACGUCGUGAGACAGUUUGGUCCCUAUCUGCCGUGGGCGCUGGAAAUUUGAAGGGGGCUGCUCCUAGUACGAGAGGACCGGAGUGGACGAACCUCUGGUGUACCGGUUAUGACGCCAGUCGUAUCGCCGGGUAGCUAAGUUCGGAAGAGAUAAACGCUGAAAGCAUCUAAGCGUGAAACUCGCCUUAAGAUAAGAUUUCCCGGAGUCUUGAACUCCCUGAAGGGUCGUCGAAGACCACGACGUUGAUAGGUCAGGUGUGGAAGCGCAGCAAUGCGUUAAGCUAACUGAUACUAAUUGCCCGUGCGGCUUGAU